CUGACUGGCGCUCAUGGCGGGAGCUAGAGACGCCAAACGUCGCCAAAAGUCAUUCAGCGAUUUGUUUACUUCCACUUCGUGUUUUAAAAGUAGCUGUAGUCGUCAAAGGCGUAAUAUGUGACUCUUGCAUUAAAACCAAAACGUCGGCGUCUUCGCCAGAGAGUAUUGAGACAAGACAUGCAGGCCCAAGCAGUCUUGACAGUUUCGAGCUGGGAUAUCAACGUGUAUGUUCAAUCGGGAUCUGAUGAAACAAGUAAAGCAAGGUUGGGGCUGUCAGCCUCGUGAGUUGCUGUGGACUUGGCGGCUAAUUGAGGAGCAGCUCCACACCCUGUCGUCAUUAAUCACUGGGGCUGCCGGGCUGCCUGCCCGGGACACUGCUGUGAUGGGCUGCAGCUCUCUCUCUCUCUCACUCACAGGCUCUCUCUCUUUAGUAGUUCACUGGACACAUUGGGAAUGGGGGGUAUCGCACCCCCCCACCUCCAUUCUAAGCCCAGUGGGACAGCAGAGAAAGGGAGAAAGAGAUCAAUCAAACAGGUGUAGCCCUGCUGAGAAGACACUGGUCAGGGACUAAAUUAACUCCACACCCCCACCCACACAUCCAUCCAACUCCCCUCCCCUCCACAAGCAGGCGACAGAAACAGAGUGACUGCAUAUUGACUCAGCUGGAGCCCGGGAGACGAGGGAGAGAAAGAUAAAUGGCAGGGAGAGAUUGAUGAGGAGAAAGACGGAGAGAAGGAUAGAGCAGGAAUGUGAUGAACGAGUGGGAACGGGGUGAUGGCAGGAUUAAUCCCUCACCUUCGGAUAAAAUGUGAAAAUUCCUCCCCUCCAUUUAACCUUCCUGUA